rnacentral:pre_miRNA from 1 species
UCUUAUGGAUGAGCAAAGAAAAUGGUUUCUUGAGCAAUGGAAUCUACUCCUGGUGAAGAUUCUGGGAA